AGAAAGGCGAGAAAAGGUAUUGCUGGUGAUUGCAUGCUCAAGAACUUCCUGCAUCUCUAUCCUGGAUUUUAUUCAGUAGGGGGCACGGAGGGAAUGCGGAUCUUCAUGAAAAUGAUGGCAUGCUUCCGCAACAACAAGGAGCUGGAAUUCGAGGACGCUGGCGUGACCAACGCUGCCAUGCAUUGGAUUUAUGAAGUUUUGAGGAGCGACUCAUGAAGAUUGCUCAGGGCUUCCAGCGGAUAACAAGUUUCACAGACUCCGGCGUCUCUGUCUUCAAGUUAGUGUAAUUAUAGACAACGUGUUGGGUAUGUCGAAAUUGAGAUCCGGAGCCGGAAAUGGUUUUGCCACGGUUGGUAAUA